CAGCACCUCAAGUGGUCAGGAUGAUUAUUGGGCCUAAAGCAUCCGUAGCCGGCGCUGUAAGUUUUCGGUUAAAUCUGUACGCUCAACGUACAGGCUGCCGGGAAUACUGCAGCGCUAGGGAGUGGGAGAGGUAGACGGUACUCGGUAGGAAGGGGUAAAAUCCUUUGAUCUAUUGAUGACCACCUGUGGCGAAGGCGGUCUACCAGAACACGUCCGACGGUGAGGGACGAAAGCCAGGGGAGCGAUCCGGAUUAGAUACCCGAGUAGUCC
rnacentral:rRNA from 1 species